rnacentral:lncRNA from 1 species
CCUUUCCCUCAGCCUCCCGGGAGCGUGACGCGGCGGCCCGGGGGCCUCCGGGCGCCUUCCGGGGCACGCGGGUGAGGAACUGGGAAGCGGGGGAAAUCGGCGCCACGGCGGUCGAUUAGCACCGAAACAGAGUGAUGGGCGCGGAGCGUCCCUGCACACACACACACACUCACACACACACACACACGACCCCUGCGGCCACGGGAGGGGAGAGCCGGGGUCGGCUCCGCGAGCGCAGGGUGGCGCUUGUCUCCUCCUGCUUGCCGUAGGAAGUGGACGCUGGAAGCCCGAGGAGCCGCUUCGUGUCUUCCCAAACCUAAGCGGCGCCCCACCCCCUACUUCUCGUGGCCCGUUACGCCCGGGGCAGCCAAGCGCCGCGGGAGCAGCGCCGGGAUCGACCCUGGCUGCUGGGGGGACGCUUUGUCCCAAGAAAGCUGGUUUUUUGCCCCUUAGCUUCGUGGAACGCGGCCGCGAAAUUAGUGGUCUUCUGACCUGAGACUCGCGGGGCUGCGCACACGGGCAUCGCCGAGGACCCCAGCAAUGGACGUCGUGUCUGUGGUGAUCCCGCCAGGACGCGGGGAGCGUGGGCGGAAAUUAGUGUCCACGUUCCGACCCUGCGCUGUGCCAAACGCUGCUUCGGGAGCUGUUUAUUUAGCCUCCGACAGCUAAGCGAAUCGGCGGGCGGCUGGGGCCUGGUGCAACCCGAUUUUCUCGUGCAGACUCGCAGCCGGCUUUGGUUUUGUUUUUUGUUUUUUGUUUUUUUUUUGGAGCCAUGCAGAGGGUAGCUACAGCCAUUAAUUUAAGGAUGUAGAUAAGCUAUCUCUAAACCAAGAAACCUUGAGAGGAGUUAAAAGCCAUCAUUUUACUCCUGCUUACCUCCGCCACCGUAAUUAACCACUUUAUACUGCCUCAUAAUCCCAUUAACAAAUUGCAGUCGCUCCUCAGCCUUCACAUUCAUUCACUCACCAGUUUCUACUGUUUCAUCCUGCCCGGACUCUUAACUGUUCCCUCCCAGGAUCGACAUGCACUUGGAUCAUUGCAGUUUCUGGGCCUGCUGUCAUCUCCCCCUUCAGUACUUCCCACAUAUGACUACCAACUGUUAGACGAUGUGCUGCUGCCAGACCAGCCUUUCAUUUCUUGGACAUCCGGCUAUUUACCCAGGAAAAGUCAUCCUUUGACUAUUUUUCAUGACCUUUCUCAUCUGACUCGUGAUCUGCCCAUCUUGUUACUCCCUAGCAGUGUGGUAAGUGAAUUCUUGUUUCUGCCUUAAAUCUACUUCUGUCUCAGCCAAAUUCAUUCUCCCAAGAAGACAAGGAUCGAGGACUGUGGAGCCAACUCAGACUCGCCACGGCUAACAAUGUUUCCUGGGAUCGCCUCCCAAAUAAACUGCUUGUACUUGAACCCUUGUCUCAGAGUUGACUACUGGAAGAACCCCAGAUAAGACAAUCUGCGAGUAGACAUGUCAGAUAAUGCAGUUAGAUAUGAAUCUGGAAUUCAGAGGAGAGGCUCAUGCAAUUUGCAAGUCAUCAUCAAAAAGAUGUCAUUUGUUCUGUUUGUCUACUGCAGGAAGACAGAUUACCCUAAAAUUUAGUGGCUGAAAACAACUCUAUUUUAUCGUAGCUUACAAUUUUGUGGAUUGGGAAUUAGAGCCUGUCUCAUCUGGGCAACUCUUCUGUUCCCCAUGGCAUCACCUGAGGUCACUCCAUGGUAUUCAGCUACCAGACGAACUCAUCUGGAGUAUCCAAGUAUUCAUUCACGCUCAUAUCUGGCACCUUGGCAGGGAUGACUGGAAGCCUGGGCUCAGCUGGGACUGCUGACCAUAGUACCUACAAAUGGCCUCUUCAGCAUGGCUUCUUAAAUGGCUGCUCGGAGCUACCAAGAGACAGGAAGUAGAAGCUGCUAGUUUCUUAAGACCCAGAAAUGGUACAAUUUCAUUCCUGCCAUUGGUCAAAGCAGUCACAGAGCCUUCCAAGAGGAAACACAGACCCUCACUUCUCACUGGGAAGUAUGUCAAAGAGUUUGGGGCUUUUUUUUUGAGAAGGAGUCUUGCUCUGUCGCCCAGGCUGGAGUGCAGUGGCAAGAUCUCGGCUCACUGCAACCUCUGCCUCCCGAAUUCAAGCAAUUCUCCUGCUUUGGCCUCCCAAGUAGCUGGGAUUACAGGCAUGCGCCACCACACCCGGCUAAUUUUUUUGUAUUUUUAGUGGAGACGGGGUUUCACCAUAUGGGCCAGGCUGGUCUCGAACUCCUGACCUUGUGAUUCACCUGCCUCAGCCUCCCAAAGUGCUGGGAUUACAGACGUAAGCCACUGCGCCCAGCCCUGGGGCUGUCUUUAAUCCACUACAACAUUGCAAAGCUGUGAGCCAGGAUGAGAACGCCAGAGGUAUGAAUGUGGAUUAAAAGUCCAAGCACUGAAACUUUCAAUGUUUAGAGACCAGUGAGAGAAAGAACCAGCAACAGAGACUCAGAACUAUAUCAUAUUCUGCUGAUAAGCCAAUAAGAUGAUAAUGAUAACUAAGAAUUGACAUUGGCUUUAGUGAUGUAGACAUAAUUGGGGACCUUGACAAGAGCAGUUUACUGGGGGUGGUUGAGUUGAAACUUUGAUUGUUUCAAGAGAGAAUGGAAUGAGUGGAAAGAUAGUUUGUGAGUGCUAGCAAUUAUUCAGAGAAUUUCUGCUAUAAAUGGGAGCAGGAGGAUGUAUCAGGAGCUAAUGGGAGAAAUGAGGUCAACAUUAUUUCCUAUGUAGCUUUCUCUUAUGCCCAAAUUCCACUGGAUAUCAUCCACUUCUGGUUACUUCUGGUUUGGGAUGUAUAGGUGAAGGAAUAGUUUUGGAUCCUCCUUUAUUACCUGUUUUAUUUGCAUAAUUGGACAAUAACUAAACUUGCUUUAAAUAUCUCUUAAAGCAUUUUAAAUUCAAAUUUGGAGAGAGGAAUAUGAGAGUGGUUUUUGGUCAUUGUUUAGCCAUAUACAAUAUUGUCUUACCUUCUGCAUUUGAAGUUUUUGAUACCUGAUAAAUGUUUGUAUUGUGUAGUUGAACAAGAAUUUGCCACAUGAAGGUUUACAGUUGUAGUUUUAUGUUAAGUUCUUUACAGUAGUCCCCUCUCAUCUUUAUCCCCCACUUGGAACUAUCUACAGUAGUUCCAGGACCCCCCUCCCAGUGGAUGAUUGAAACCAUGGAUAGUACCAAACCCUAUAUACAUAUUAUGUUUUUCCUAUACAUACAUACCUAUGAUGUUUAAUUUCUAAAUUAGGCGGAGUAAGAGAUGAACAACAACUAAUAAUGUAAUAGAACAGUUGUAACAAUAUACUAUAAUAAGAGCUACAUGAAUGUGGUUUCUCCCUCUCAAAAUGUGUUACUGUACUCACCUAUCUUUGGUCCAUGGUUGUCUGUGGGUGACUGAAACUGCAUAUAAGGCAGGGGACUACUGUAACCACAGGUGUUGGAAGGCAGCAUAGCAGAGUAGUUAGGGUCAGGACUGCGGAGGAAGACUGCCUAGGUUCAUAUUAUGAUGUAAACUCUCCAUGCCUCACUUUUCUUAUCUAAUGCGGAGAUAAUAAUAGUAACUCAUUUGUAAAGUUAUUAUAAGUAUUAAAUGAGAAAAUACAUGUAAGACACUUAGAGUAUCACAGGUCAUCACUUACUUAGUAUGUAGUAAGUAUUUGAUGAGGUUAGUUACUAUUCUUAUUGAGCAGUGAAUCAGUUAGGAAUGCUUUCGGCUGCAAGGAGGAGAAUACUGAUUUACAGUGGCCUCAGUGAGAAGCCUGCAUUUCUCUCACAGAGCAGGCACUGCAGAGGUAGGCAGCUGCUAAAACAGGUUCCUUUCUACAGCUCCAGGGGUCUGAGUUGGCCACUCUUCAGUUCCCUCGGACCUCCCCUGUUGUUUGCCACACCACCAAUCAUCACAUUCUCAAAGGCAUUCAAGGCAGAAAGCUGGGAACAAGGAAGGGCGGAGAGUUUCUCUUCAGGAGCCUCCCUCUUACUAGAGAAGAAAAAAACCUGCCUUUUAUGGGUUCUUUUGUCUUGUUUUUCAUGACUGUCUUCAUUUGAGAAAGUCCUCAGGCCAAGAAAUGGAGGUGCUGGCAGUUGGAGAUCAGGCUGUCCAUAGCACACUGAUGUGGCACAGGCAAGGAAUAUGGCUGAGGCACCAAUUUGCUGCUACUGCUGUCUAACAGGCAUUGGAAGUCUUAUGUGUUCAAAAAUAAACUUCUGAUUUCUACUCCCAAACCUGCUCUUCCCACAUCUUCCCCGUCUCAGUAGGUGGCAGCUCUAUUUGUCCGGUUACUGAGACCAAAUAUUAGAGUCCUCCUUAAUUUCCUCUCUCUCAUGCUUCACAUUCAGUUUAUUAAUAAAUCCUGUUGACAGCCUGGGCAAUAUGGCAAGAAUCCAUCUCACAAAAUAAAUAAAUAAGCCAGGUGUGGUGGUACGUGCCUGUGGUCCCCGGUUACUCGAGAAGCUGAGGCUGAGGAUCAGUUGAGCCCAGGAGUUGAGGCUACAGAUAGCUAUGAUCACACCACUGCACUCCAGCCUGGGCAUCAGUGAGAGCACAUUUCUUAAAAAAAAAAAAAAAAAAAAAAGAAGGACUGGGCGUGGUGGCUCAUGCCUGUAAUCCGAACAUUUUGGGAGGCCGAGGCGGGCAGAUCACUUGAGCCCAGGAGUUUGAGACCAGUCUGCACAAUAUGGUGAGACCCCUGUCUCUACAAAAAAUACAAAAUUUAGCUGGGCAUGGUGGCACAUGCCUGUAGUCCCAGCUACUCGGGAGGCUGGGGCAGGAGGAUCUCUUGAGCCAGGGAGUUGGAGAUUGCAGUGAGCCAAGAUCACACCACUGCACUCCAGCCUGCGCAACAGAGCCAGACUGUGUUUAAAAAAAAAAAAAUCCUGUCAGAUCUACCUUUAGAUUAUGUCCAGAAUUCAACCACUUUCAUCAUCUGUAUCAUUACUACACUGACCCAAUCCACCAACAUUUCUUGCCUGUAUUAUUUAAAAUUUCUGGCCAGGUGUGGUGGCUCACACCUGUAAUCCCAGCACUUUGGGAGGCCCAGGAGGGUGGAUCACGAGGUCAGGAGAUCGAGACCAUCCUGGCUAACAUGAUGAAACCCCGUCUCUACUAAAAAUACAAAAACUUAGCCGGGUGUGGUGGCGGGCGCCUGUAGUCCCAGCUACUUGGGAGGCUGAGGCAGGAGAAUGGUGUCAACCCGGGAGGGGGAGCUUGCAGUGAGCCGAGAUCGCGCCACUGCACUCCAGCCUGGGCGACAGAGCGAGACUCCGUCUCAAAAAAAGAAAAGAAAAGUUUCCUAACUGGUUUUUGUGUUUUCUUCCCCUUUCCCCCCAUGAUUUAAAAGCUAGGUUAUAUUCUGUCACUUUCUUGCACAAAAUUCUCCAAUGACUUCCAGUCUCACUCGGAGUAAAAUCCAAAUUCUUAGGAUGGCCUAUAAUGUCCUACAAAAUUUGCCCCCUCAUUGACUCUUUGACCUCAUCUGCUAGUCUCCUAGCUCAUUCUGCUCCAGUUGCCCCAAUUUCCCUACUGUUCCCCCAACCAUGCCAGGUGUGCCCCCACCUCAAGAGCGGCCCUUUUUUUUUUUUUUUUUUUUUUUGAGACGGAGUCUCGCUCUGUCGCCCAGGCUGGAGUGCAGUGGUGCUAUCUCAGCUCACUGCAACCUCGGCCUCCUGGGUUCACGCCAUUCUCCUGCCUCAGCCUACCGAGUAGCUGGGACUACAGGCGUCCGCCACCACGCCCGGCUAAUUUUUUGUAUAUUUAGUAGAGACGGGGUUUCACCGUGUUAGCCAGGAUGGUCUCGAUCUCCUGACCUCGUGAUCCGCCCUCCUCGGCCUCCCAAAGUGCUGGGAUUACAGGCGUGAGCCACCACGCCUGGCCUAAGAGCGACCCUUCUAAUGGGCACAGUUUUCUGCCAGGUUGCCUCAAGGCUUGCUUCCUUACUUCCUUCAGGUCUCACAUGUCACCAUGCCUGAGCCUUCCCUGGUGCCCCUAUGUGAAACAGCCAUUUUCUCAUGCACUUUCUGUCCCCAUAUCCUGUUUUAUUUUUCUCCACCUGAUAUACUAUAUGUGUAUUUAUAUAUAUAUGUGUGUGUGUACUAUGCUUGCUUAUCUUCAGUCUCCCCCACUGAAAUGUAAGUUCCAUGAGAGAAGACUUUCUUGUAUUACCUGUUUCACCCCUAGUGCUUGGAACGUAAUAGGCACUUGAAGAGCAUUUCCUGAAUGUAUACAUAAACAAGCAAUAUUGCAUGUUAGCGUUGCCUCAAGAUUUGUGCUUAUUCCUCCCAUAUUUUGUGAUUAAUUCCCCUCUACCUACUCCCAAAAUGAGAUUAUUAAAUCAAAAGGUAAAGGUACUUUGGGAGGCCGAGGCGGGCGGAUCACGAGGUCAGGAGAUCGAGACCAUCCUGGCUAACACGGUGAAACCCCGUCUCUACUAAAAAUACAAAAAAUUAGCCAGCCAAGGCAGCGGGUGCCUGUAGUCCCAGCUACUCGGGAGGCUGAGGCAGGAGAAUGGCGUGAACCCCGGGGGGCGGAGCCUGCAGUGAGCCGAGAUCGCGCCACUGCACUCCAGCCUGGGCGACAGCGAGACUCCGUCUCAAAAAAAAAAAAUUCCAAAUAGCUUUCAAAAACAAAGCAAUUAUGUGGAGAGUAUCAUACGAGUUAUACGUUCUUGUUAGGCAUUGUACUUUUAAACUUUUUCACAAAUUUUAUAGAAAAGACUAGCAAAAUUUAUUAUCUUUCCAUAUUUAUUUACAACCAAUAAUAGUAGUUUUGAAUAAAUAAUUAAUUUUUUAAAGUAUUUAAAAAACGGAAAUCUUGACCAAAGGCUUUCUCAGGUUUAUUCACCUUUUUGGCUGUGAUCUGACCAUGGCUGCCUGUAACCAAAGGUGAACUUACUAACCCCGCUCUGCACACUGCUGCUUAUUUUCCUCCGUUAAGUGCAAUACCUGCCUCCCCAGUUCACGAUUCUAAGUCCUAUAUAUUAGCUUAUCUUUAUAUCUUAGUUAUAUAAUUCUCACACUAGAGGAAAAGGCAGUCUUUUCUGGCUCAAUGACUAUGUCUUUAAAAAAAAAAAUACCAUGCCCUUCCCCACAAUGUUUUCAGUAUCCUAUAAUAAUAUGAAACAAAACAAAAGGUUGAUUAAAGGAACGUACAUAUUGGUUGCAUCAUAGUCACCCCAAGGGAAAUAUUAGGCCCCAAUGGAAGUAAAGACAUAUAGGUUCCUUUUCUUCUCCAACCAAAGGAGCUUGCUGCUCAGAGUUCAAAAUCUAUAUUUUGCAUAUAGAUUAUCUAUAUUUUAUCUUUGCAUAUGCAAUGAUAAAAUUCCAUGGAAAAAAAUGGUGACAUAUGCACAUAAAUCCACUUCUAUAUACAUACAUUUUGACUCUUAGAAACAGCUACUAUAUAACACAAUCAAGUAUCGAUUUAUUUCCUGUCUCUCUCUCUCUACGUAUAUAUUUGGUUCAAAAUAUAUGUAUUUGGUUCAAAGUCUCAGCAAGGGAUGUACCUGGCUUUGGUUAUUGAUGAGAAGAGUAAUUAAUAGAACAUUCCCUUUGCUGUGAUACCCUACCCAAAAUAGCUCGGUUGUUGGUUCACUUUCUUCAG